ACGUAGCUACGCGUGAGUUGACCGCCUGGGGAGUACGGUCGCAAGAUUAAAACUCAAAGGAAUUGACGGGGACCCGCACAAGCGGUGGAUGAUGUGGAUUAAUUCGAUGCAACGCGAAAAACCUUACCUACCCUUGACAUGGUCGGAAUCCUNGAGAGAUCUGGGAGUGCUCGAAAGAGAACCGAUACACAGGUGCUGCAUGGCUGUCGUCAGCUCGUGUCGUGAGAUGUUGGGUUAAGUCCCGCAACGAGCGCAACCCUUGUCCUUAGUUGCUACGCAAGAGCACUCUAGGGAGACUGCCGGUGACAAACCGGAGGAAGGUGGGGAUGACGUCAAGUCCUCAUGGCCCUUAUGGGUAGGGCUUCACACGUCAUACAAUGGUCGGAACAGAGGGUCGCCAACCCGCGAGGGGGAGCUAAUCCCAGAAAACCGAUCGUAGUCCGGAUUGCACUCUGCAACUCGAGUGCAUGAAGCUGGAAUCGCUAGUAAUCGCAAA
rnacentral:rRNA from 1 species